rnacentral:rRNA from 1 species
AUGGCUCAGGAUGAACGCUAGCUACAAGGCUUAACACAUGCAAGUCGAGGGGUAGCAGGGUAGCAAUACCGCUGACGACCGGCGCACGGGUGAGUAACACGUAUCCAACCUUCCCAUAACUCAGGGAUAGCCUUUCGAAAGAAAGAUUAAUACCUGAUAGUACUUUUUCAAGGCAUCUUGAGAAAGUUAAAGAUUUAUUGGUUAUGGAUGGGGAUGCGUUCCAUUAGAUAGUUGGUGAGGUAACGGCUCACCAAGUCUUCGAUGGAUAGGGGUUCUGAGAGGAAGGUCCCCCACAUUGGUACUGAGACACGGACCAAACUCCUACGGGAGGCAGCAGUGAGGAAUAUUGGUCAAUGGGCGAGAGCCUGAACCAGCCAAGUAGCGUGAAGGAAUGAAGGUCCUAUGGAUUGUAAACUUCUUUUAUAGUAGAAUAAAGUGAUCCACGUGUGGAUUUUUGUAUGUAUACUAUGAAUAAGGAUCGGCUAACUCCGUGCCAGCCGCCGC